AAGCAUCGUUGGGACAAAGUCUAAACAUUUCCUUGAAAUGCUCCCACGCAUCAUAAAGAGAUUCCCAUCUUUUUUAUUGAACCGUGUAAUUUGGUCUCUUAGUUU
rnacentral:snoRNA from 2 species